CAGUAAGCUGAAAUCGCACAGCUACACUUCAGCCUGGGUGACAGAAUGAGACUCUGCCUGAAAAACAAAAAAACGGUUCUAAAGGAGGUUGAGACAAUCUAUUGCAUGGCAUUUAAGGUAUUUUGUGGCUUUGGCAACACUGAGUGAAGCAGGCUCAUUCCCUGCACUGAAGGAACUUAUCAGUGUGCGUUUCUCUUAGUUCAGGUGGUUCAAAAGUGAGGGUGAGAGACGGGAUGUAAGCAACAUGGCGGAAUACGAAGCUCCUGACUCUUUCCAUCCACGGACACAUGAAAUACACGCCUAUUUACAGACUAUCCCCUCUGAAAGUGAGAAACUAGUUGAGAGACUGCUGAUCACCAGGCAACGGAGAAAACAUCUGUCUUAAACAGUACGUGUGUACUCAAGCUUUACGGGAACUUUUGUGAGCUUCAGUUUGGUCAGAGAGGGAAGAGAAAAUACUCCAAACAAGGCCUUGCAGUGGAAGAAGGAAGAGGGAUGAUGUGGAGUCUCCCUGAAACCAGUGGACAGAUUUCCUCAGAAAACUCUUCCUGCUUAGGUAAUCAGUGAGUGUAUCCACCACUGCAAAACACAGUGCCAUUACCAUUUAAUCUGUCAUUGUAGGUACGGUGGCUGUAUUAGGAGGUGAGAUUAUCCCGGGGGGGGGGGAAAUCCUGAAAGCUAUUAAUAAUGAUUCUGUAGUUAUUUGAAGAUAAUGAAAGACAUUACUCCGAGGAAUUAUCUGUGAUAGAUGGACAAAGUUAAGAUCUCAGUAAAGUUUGAGCCUGAAUACUAAAGUAUGAAAAGUGAAAGAAUGAAGUUAAGCACGUGGUUGUAUUGGGAUCUUGACCACACUUUGUCCACAGAAUGUGACUCUUUUUUCCUGAAAAUGCUGAGCAGUUGUGAAGUUGUGCUGUCUUGAUAAUUCACUGUUAAAAUAUACAUCCAAGAAACACCUACAAGCUCUGAGUAGGUGCUUUUCAGAUGUAUUAGUAGUGUGAGAGACAUCACUAAUAAAGUUUCCAAGAUUCUAUA